UCCGACAUGGUGUAGCGGUAACAUAGGUGCCUUUCAUGUUCUUCGUGUACGCACUUGCCCGGGGUUCGACUCCCCGUAUCGGAA